UCCCUGGUGGUCCAGUGGCUAAGACUAUGAGUUCCCAACACAGGGGCCCAGGUUCGAUCCCUGGUCAGGGAG
rfam:Ovis aries breed Texel chromosome 17, whole genome shotgun sequence.